rnacentral:rRNA from 1 species
UCCUACGGGAGGCAGCAGUAGGGAAUCUUCCGCAAUGGACGAAAGUCUGACGGAGCAACGCCGCGUGAGUGAUGAAGGCUUUCGGGUCGUAAAACUCUGUUGUUAGGGAAGAACAAGUGCUAGUUGAAUAAGCUGGCACCUUGACGGUACCUAACCAGAAAGCCACGGCUAACUACGUGCCAGCAGCCGCGGUAAUACGUAGGUGGCAAGCGUUAUCCGGAAUUAUUGGGCGUAAAGCGCGCGCAGGUGGUUUCUUAAGUCUGAUGUGAAAGCCCACGGCUCAACCGUGGAGGGUCAUUGGAAACUGGGAAACUUGAGUGCAAAAAAGGAAAGUGGAAUUCCAUGUGUAGCGGUGAAAUGCGUAAAAGAUAUGGAGAAACACCAAUGGCAAAUGCAACUUUCUGGGUCUGUAACUGAAACUGAGACAAAAAACUGUGGGGAGAAAACAGAGAUAAAUAACCCUGGUAGACCCCCCCCUAAAAACAAUGAAU